GAUGAAGAACGUAGCGAAAUGCGAUACUUGGUGUGAAUUGCAGAAUCCCGCGAAUCAUCGAGUUUUUGAACGCAAGUUGCGCCCGAAGCCAUUCGGCCGAGGGCACGUCUGCCUGGGUGUCACGCAUCGUUGCCCCCCCAAACUCCGGUUCGGGCGGGGCGGAAGUUGGCCUCCCGUGCGUGCCUGCACGCGCGGUUAGUCCAAAAGCGAGUCCUCGGCGACGAGCGCCACGACAAUCGGUGGUUUUUUUACCCUCGUUCCUCGUCGUGCGUGCCCCGUCGCCCGAACGUGCUCUUGCGACCCUCACGCGUCGCCUCGGCGGCGCUCCCAACGCGACCCCAGGUCAGGCGGGACUACCCGCUGAGUUUAAGCAUAUCAAUAAGCGGAGGA
rnacentral:misc_RNA from 1 species